AGCGAACGCUGGCGGCAGGCUUAACACAUGCAAGUCGAGCGGGCACUUUCGGGUGUCAGCGGCGGACGGGUGAGUAACGCGUGGGAACGUGCACGCUGGUUCGGAAUAACUCAGGGAAACUUGAGCUAAUACCGGAUACGCCCUUUUGGGGAAAGGCUUGCUGCCGGAGGAUCGGCCCGCGUCUGAUUAGCUAGUUGGUGAGGUAACGGCUCACCAAGGCGACGAUCAGUAGCUGGUCUGAGAGGAUGAUCAGCCACACUGGGACUGAGACACGGCCCAGACUCCUACGGGAGGCAGCAGUGGGGAAUAUUGGACAAUGGGCGCAAGCCUGAUCCAGCCAUGCCGCGUGAGUGAUGAAGGCCUUAGGGUUGUAAAGCUCUUUUAUCCGGGACGAUAAUGACGGUACCGGAGGAAUAAGCCCCGGCUAACUUCGUG
rnacentral:rRNA from 1 species